AAAUUGAAGAGUUUGAUCAUGGCUCAGAUUGAACGCUGGCGGCAGGCCUAACACAUGCAAGUCGAACGGUAGCAGGAAGAAGCUUGCUUCUUUGCUGACGAGUGGCGGACGGGUGAGUAAUGUCUGGGAAACUGCCUGAUGGAGGGGGAUAACUACUGGAAACGGUAGCUAAUACCGCAUAACGUCGCAAGACCAAAGAGGGGGACCUUCGGGCCUCUUGCCAUCGGAUGUGCCCAGAUGGGAUUAGCUAGUAGGUGGGGUAACGGCUCACCUAGGCGACGAUCCCUAGCUGGUCUGAGAGGAUGACCAGCCACACUGGAACUGAGACACGGUCCAGACUCCUACGGGAGGCAGCAGUGGGGAAUAUUGCACAAUGGGCGCAAGCCUGAUGCAGCCAUGCCGCGUGUAUGAAGAAGGCCUUCGGGUUGUAAAGUACUUUCAGCGGGGAGGAAGGGAGUAAAGUUAAU
rnacentral:rRNA from 1 species